AACGAACGCUGGCGGCAUGCCUUACACAUGCAAGUCGAACGGUAACGCGGGGCAACCUGGCGACGAGUGGCGAACGGGUGAGUAAUAUAUCGGAACGUGCCCAAUAGUGGGGGAUAGCCCGGCGAAAGCCGGAUUAAUACCGCAUACGACCUGAGGGUGAAAGCGGGGGAUCGCAAGACCUCGCGCUAUUGGAGCGGCCGAUAUCAGAUUAGGUAGUUGGUGGGGUAAAGGCCUACCAAGCCUACGAUCUGUAGCUGGUCUGAGAGGACGACCAGCCACACUGGGACUGAGACACGGCCCAGACUCCUACGGGAGGCAGCAGUGGGGAAUUUUGGACAAUGGGCGCAAGCCUGAUCCAGCCAUGCCGCGUGCGGGAAGAAGGCCUUC
rnacentral:rRNA from 1 species